CUAGAUAUACACACACAUAACACAACGAAAAAAAAUGUAAGAAGAAAACAAGGAAAAAAAGAAGAGCAUUUUGUGAGAAAACACAAAGAGAACACAUGGACACCAACUAGAAGAAAAAGAAAAACUUGGAAAAAAAAGAAGGAAAAGAUUAGAGGGAAAAGAGUUAGGGUUAGGACUUUGGGUUCCGUUUCGAGUUUUCGAUGAAGAUAUUCUUAUUUUAUAUUCAGUUUGGUCUUUCCUACAGGUCCUUAUCCAACUCCUGAAUUAUUAUUUUUAUAAGUUUCAUGGUGAAUCAAAGCAUGAAUGAAGUUAUCUCAAUGUUUUCUUAUAUUAUUUAGUAUUUGUAGUUUAUUAUUUAUAUGAAGUUUUGCUCUACAUCUUUAUUUGUAAUUAUUUUCUCUAUUGGAUCAGCGUUAAUUAAAUUUAUAUGGAACAUUAGAUGAGAUAUUUUCAAAAGUUAAAUGCGUUAAGAAUGUAAAAGUGAAUAAUCUUGAUGUUACUUGCUGCAUUUGGUUAACAUCCAUAUUAGAGUCUAGUUGUGUUCUAAACCAUAAAUCGUAUGUUAGGAUAAAAAUGGAGUUUUGGAUGUUGUUGUUUGUAUCUUGAGUCAUUAAGCUUGAAUUAAGAUUAUUUUUUUACUAAAAACAAAGAAGAUAUAAAAAUUGAAAAGGUACUAGUACUGGAUAUUUGAUUCUUUCUAUUUUUUUUCUUAGUUUUAAUGAAUCAUAUGUUCAUUCCUAUUAUGUAGUAAAAAUAGGAAAGAGCUUUACUGUUAUUAGGAUCAAUUCUAGUUAACCUUAAUUAUUUGAGGAAUGGAAUUAUGAUCUGAGCUCCAACAUUUUUUAUCUUAGAAAAAUAAAUAAAUGGGCUAAUCCAAAAUGCAGAUGGUCAAAAUCUACUUGUCAUUAUUUUAUUUAUUCAUUUAUUUAAAAAGAAUCAACAAAAGUCCAUUAAGUCAGUAUCCAAAAGAAAUCCCUAUCAGAUUCAAUUUUGCAAUAUUUUUUGUUGUGUUCCGUAUUCAUGUAUUCCAAGAUUCUUUAUUUUUCUUUUCUUUUUUAAUUUAGCUUUCUUUACGUGAUGUUUUUUUUUUCUUUAAGCAUUAAAUCUCCGUUUAUAAUAUUUAGUUAAGAUAUUCUGCGUGUAUGUGGAGAUUGAAGUAAGUGUUUACUUUAGUAUGUUAUUAACGUUAAUCUUAUAACCUGAAAAAUCAAUGAAUCAUGUGAAAUGAGUGAAAAGGGUUGCGAAUUUAUCAAAGACACAUCACAAUAAUAAAAAAAGAGGAAAAAUCUAUUUGUAAGAGAGCAAGACGGGUUGCGAGUUAAUUCAAGAAUCGUUGCAAAAAAUAAAAGAGAAAAGAGAAUAAAAACGGAUAAGAAAAUUGCCUUGAGUUUAAGACAACAAAUGUCCUUAAUGCUAGACAAGCUUUAGGCCAUUUAAUAUAUUUUUCUAGAUUAAGAAUGUGGCGUACGCAUUUUUUUGACACGUUCAAAAAUAAUUCAAGGAUGCAAUGUUGCACCUCAACAAAGAUCAUCCCUAAAAGAUUAAUUUUCACCAACUUAAUACAAGAGGUAUAGACAAAAAGUAGACAUUAACAAUGAGCGAAUUAAGUCCUUCAAACAUAAUUUAUAAAAAUAAUUUAAGUUAAGUAUAAGUUGAUAAAAGAGACCGUGCUAGAACCACGGGACUUAAGCGGUGCCUCACCUUCCCCUCGGUCAACAAAAUUUCUUACCCGAUCAUUUGUUUUUCCAGACCAAUAAAGAGUCAUUUUCUUUGAUUAGGGAUUUAAUAAGGUGACUUAGAACUCCAUAACUCAAUUUCAAGUGGCUACUCUGAAAAUGAUAAAAAUAAUCCCUACUCAAAACCGUUAGUUUAAUUGAAAAAAUUCCUCGACCCUUGGGGAAAAAAAGGGUAUAAAAGGUUUAACCAAAUGAUAUAAUUGUUUAAGGAUGCUUUACCUAAAGAUAACCUGCUGAUUGAUAAUUAUUAUCAGACUAAGAAGCUAGUGCGUAGCUUGUGUUUACCGGUUGAAAUGAUUGACUGUUGUGAAUUGAGAUGUAUGUUGUAUUGAGAUGACGAUGAACAUCUUACCUCUUGUAAAUUUUUUGACAAAGAGAGGUAAAAGCGUCAAGUUGGCUCUCGUAAGAGAAAAUUGGUUCCUCUAGAGAAUGUAUUAUUUUCCUUUGAUUUCUAGAUUGAAUAGAUUAUAUGCAUCCCAUAAUACAACUGCUGACAUGAGAUGACAUCAUGAAUAUAUAAAAGAGGAUGCGGUAAUGCGUCAUCCUUCAGGCUCUGAAGCUUGGAAGAACUUCAAUGAAACUUAUCCUUUUCUUUGUCGAUGAACUAAGAAAUGUAAGGUUGGGGUUAUGUACUGAUGGUUUCCAACCAUUCAGUCAGUCUAAGAGGAAAUAUUCUUCAUUGCCAGUAAUUAUCACUCCAUAUAAUUUACCUUCAGGGAUGUGCAUAAAAGAGACUUAUAUGUUCUUACUGUCAUUGUUCAAGGACCAAACAAUUUCAAAUAUAAAAUUGAUGUUUAUUUGUAUCAUCUAAUAAAGGAAUUGACCUUGUUAUGGGAGACAAGUGUAUAAGCAUUUAAUAUCUCAAAAAAUCAAAACUUUUAAUUAAGGGCAGCUUUGAUGUGGACAAUCAGUGACUUUCCAGCAAAUUCUAUAUUAUCAGGAUGGAGUACUACAGGUAAGUUUGUUUGUCCUUAUUAAAUGGAGGAAACAUAAUCCUUUAGAUUACAACAUGGUUGAAAAACAUCAUGGUUUGACUGUCACAGAAAUAUUUCUUGACCAACAUCAUCCAUUUAGGAGAGAUCGUAAAAACUUCCUUAAAGGUCAGACUAUUAAAAGAUCACCACUACCCUACAGAAUUAGAGAAGAAAUAUUAAAUCAAAUUUGUGAUUUGGGAAUGAGAAAAAUAACAUAGUUAGAUGCAGAAGAAGUUAAUAAGAGAAUAUGUAGGUCUUGUGGAUGGAAAAAGCGAAUCACCUUUUGGGAUUUUCCUUAUUAGAGUUCUAACAUGAUUUUACAUAACCUUGAUAUCAUGUAUAUUAAGAUUUUUUUUGAUAAUGUAUGUAACACAGUCCUUAAUAUUGAUUAGAAAACCAAAGACAAUCCACAAACUCGUUGGUAAAUUACUGUGAUCGACCUUAGUUGGCAAAGGAUGCUACUGGAAAAUAUCCCAAAGCUAUAUAUACAAUAGACAAAGAAGAAAACAUUAUCUUGUUCAAUUGGGUGAAAGGCUUAAAAUUUCCAUAUGCAUAUAUUUCAAAUUUGGGUUGAUGUCUAGACAUAACUACAAAAUGGUUAUUUGGCAUGAAAAAUCAUGAUUGACAUGUGUUCAUGCAAUGAUUGAUGCCUAUUACUUUUCAUGAACUACUUCUAAGUAAUGUAUGACAAAACUUGUAGAAUUGAGCUUAUUCUUUAAAGAUCUUAUAUCGACUACUCUUCAAGUGGAUGACAUGGACAGAUUACAGGGAGAUAUUUCAUAAAUCUUGUGCAAGUUUGAAUGUAUAUUUCAUACAGGGUUCUUUGAAUACAGAUUUAUUUGACUCAAUGAAACAUCUGCCUGUGCAUCUUCUAUAUAAAGAAAAGAUUGUUGAAACGGUACAACACUAAUAGAUGUAUACUUUUGAAAGGUAAAUGCAAAACUUUAUGUUGAACUUGUGACAAGUAUGUUAUAUGGAACUUUUCAAAUAUAAUGGUUUAUCCAUUUAUAUAUUUAGGUAUCUUGAAACUCUUAAAAGAAUGAUUGAGAAUAAAGCAAGUAUUGAGGGUUCCAUAUGUGAAGCAUACUUGAACUGUUUUCAUUUUAUUUUGAAUCACAUGUCAUAAAGCGCAAUAAUAAUAUAGAUCAUAAUAAUGAUGGUGGUAUUAUGGAAGAUAUUGAAGAAAAUAUAUCAACAUUUAUCCAUCUAGGUCGAUUAUGGGGAGAAUAAAAAAAGAGGAAUUUAACUUUUGAAGAAAUCAAGGCUGCCCAAACUUAUAUUUUACUAAAUUGUGAAGAGAUUGACCCACUUGUGAGAUAACAAAAGUUAGUUGUAUCAAAUUAAUUUUAUAAGAAUAUUCAUAUAUCAUGAAUUGAAAUUGAACUUAUGUUCUUUCAAUGUAUUAUGUUCGCGCAACGUUUACAAGAAGAAUUUUCAAAUCUCUCUCAGGAUCAAACAAAUGAGAGCCUUGAAGCAAAUUUCUCUAUAUAGUUCAAAGAAUAUGUAAGGCUUCACAAACUAAUAUCUUCUACAAAAUUAUGCACUUAAAUUGACUUAUGAAAUUGAACUAAAUUUUAUAAUCUUCUAAAUAGGUCCAACUCAAUCAUAUUGAGAAUGAAUUCCUCCGUAGUCUUGCUUGUUGACCAUUGAUAGGCGCUACAUGUCAUUCAGUGUAUUUUGUUAAUGGAUACAAAUUUCAUAUAGAUUUUCAUGGUAGUGCCAGAUCAAUAAUGAAUAGUGGAGUUUGUGUUUCAGAUCUAAAUUUUGAUGAUUUCUAUAGGUGGAUAAAAGAAAUUAUAGAAGUGGAAUACCGUGAAGCACCUUUAAAGGGAACUGUACUAUUCAAAUGUGAAUUGUUUGACCCAAUUAUGGAUGUUGGUGUUAAAAAGAAUAAUCAGUAUAAAUUGGUUGAUAUUAACCAUUAUCAGUGAUGUAAAAAAUGUCAACCUUUUAUUCUGACAAUGUAAGCAACUCAAGUGUGUUAUGUGUCUUAUCCUAGCAAGAAAAAGGAUAAGGAUGAUUGGGCAGCUAUAUUGAAGGUCAAACUCAAAAUGUUAUUGAAUUACUCGAUGAGGAAAUUGAGACCACUACAGAACUGAAUAUUCCAUUUCAAGUUGAAGAAGUUGAAGUCUAUGAGAAAGUUAUGAAUAUUGCCACAGAUGAAAGUAUACACUAACAUGAUCCAAAUGGUGGCUUAAUUAAAAUCGAUGAAUCCAUUGAUUUAUGAUUUAUUGUAAGAGCAUCAUGAUAUCCAAGAGGAA
rnacentral:lncRNA from 1 species